CGGGCCCCCUUUGAGGGUCAUUGUGAGGGACACAGAGUGGCGUCAGAGUGCGUGGCACGAGCUGGGCAGGCAACAUGAGGGCGGAGAUAGGAGUCUGAUGAGAGAAGACUGUGGAAAACAGCUUGUGGUUUUGAUGAUAAUUUCUCAAUUCCAGCCCCGUUUUUACAGAUGAGGCAACGCAGCCUCGAAGUAGUGAAGUGGUUUGCUCGAGCCCCCCCAACUAGCCAAUGGCAGGAUGCGAUUGGACCGAACAACAGAUGGACUUCUAAAUGAACGUGGACUUGGGAAAUGAGGAAUUCUCAAAUGAAGUGUCCAUAUAAAUGACUACGAAAGGGAAGUAAUUUGGGAUAGGAAAAUGUCUGUACAUGGAAACUGAUAAUCAAAAUUGUUAAAUGGAAAUUCCACUAAAACUCUACGCACACAUCAAAAAGUAUAAAAGUUUAGUUCUUCACUCAAACUCACAACUUGUUGAUCCAGUUUAUGUUUAUAACCUAUAAUUAACCUCUUGAGAUGUGGGUGUUUAAAAACAAAUCCUGAAUACAGCUGUCUUGUUUUUGUCCAAGGUUAUAUUCAAUUGCCCAAAUAAAUAAUGCCCCCCCCACCCCCCGCCGCUUAACCAGAUUUGGCUUUCAUCAGCCACAUACAAGUAUUUCAAGUGAACCUCUGACCUGAAUUACCUGCGUAAUGUAGAUGAUUUCAAGGUAAGUAGCCUAAUUUAGACUCUUUCAAGAUAAAGUAGCCUAAUUAUACACUCAAGGGCUUUCUUAGCAGAAAACUAAGGAAAAAAUGAAAUAUAAUAUUCAUCCUGUCUACACAGGUUUAAAAUAAAGCCAUAAAAGGCAAGUGGUAACUAGGAAAGACAUCUAGAAUAACCUUUCUAUAUAAAAGAGCUCUUACAAAUUAGUAAAAGAUAUCUACUACACAAAAGCAUCAGUCACAAAAGAAAAACCAAUACCUAGCCAAGAGUACUCAUUUUUGUUCCUAUCAAAAUGACAUAUUUCACCAUUGACAGGGGCACAAGGAAAUGAACACUGUAACCUCUAAUGAGGUACAAUAUUUAGAGGAACAAUCAAAAUGUCUUAAUGUUAAUAAUUUUGGACCUGAGUUCCACUUAUAGGAAACCACAAGUGUUGUACAAAGUAAUUUACAUAACAUUUGCUGCAAGCACCUAUACCAGAAAAAGAUACAACUGAAAAUAUCCAACACUAAGGGACUGAUUAUACAGCUAUGGUAUAGAGUGGAAUACUGUGCAGUUAAUCAUGUUAUAUAUAUAACAAAGACAUUCGAAAAUGAUUAAUGUGAAAUAAAAUGGUGACAAAUCACCACAUCCAUGAUCCAAUUUUAUUAGUUACUAACAUGUAUGGCAUAUCUAUCUGCCCAUCUCCUCAGCAGCCGCCCACCUGUUCAAGGCCACUGGCACCCAGAAUCUUGUCUUUCCCUGUUACUAAUCCACUCCCAGGACCUUAAGCUCAGUGUUCUUUGCUUCAAACAAAGUUCUUUCGUAAGGGGAGAAAUUCAAAUAUUCUAGUGCUAACAACUGUCGCACUUUUCUUCCUUUUACUCUUAAUUUAAUAGUUUAUACCCACUGUUUCUAAAUUAAAUUUAUAACCUACAAAAUGCUUUCAACACAUGUAUUAACUCAUUUGAUUCUCAAAACCUAAGAAUUUUUACUGUAUUCUUUUUCCAGGUGAGAAAACAAAAUCAGAGAUUUGCUUUUCCGAGAGGCCUCAUUAAUUGGUGACUCAAAGACCCAAACUUCAGUAAGAUGUUUUCCUUGCAUCCAGUCUACCCGCACUUUACCAUCCAAAACUAUGCUCUACAAGCAAAGGGCCUGAUGCUAUGUCUUACAAUAAUGACCCAAUACACGUGUUUAAAUUUCAGUUUUGCUAAGCCCAAAAUUUUAAUGAGAGAGCAAGCCUAAACUUUAAAUGUGCUACAUUUUUAGUAAUACCAUACAAGCUUUAAAACGACAGACAGAAGUUAACUGAUGAGUUCUGGUGAUAUUUGAAAAAACACAGACACCACUGAAGCCACAAGAUUUUAAUUUUCCUUUCUUUUAAAUGCCACACUAAUUAAAAAUAAGACAGUCCUGGAUAAUAAAAGUAUUUACACAUGGAAUACAAAAUAAAUAUAAAAUAA